rnacentral:lncRNA from 1 species
CACUCCACUGCCAGAUACAGAAAAAACAGAACUCACAGGUGUAAUAGUGAUUGAUAAAGACAAGACAGUUUUCAGUCAAGAUAUCAGAUAUCAGACUCCAUUACUUAUUAGAUCUGGAAUUACAGGACUCGAAGUCACCUAUGCUGCUGAUGAGAAGGCACUUUUUCAUGAAAUUGCAAAUAUAAUAAAGAGGUAUUGUUUUGUAUAUCUGAUUUUUCCAGUUUUAUUCAGAGAGUCGUUUCAUGCUAUUGCAGAUAAUAGUGAAGAUAAAAGUAAAGGUAGGAAGAAAGCGAAUCCCUUCCUAUGACCCUUGAAAGCAGAGUUACUCUUGGGAAGAUUUUAUACUCACUUCCCACCACCAUCACUAUUUUCAUCAGACAAGGGAUAGGAAAAGCAGUGUUCUGUUCUCAAGAUUGAGGGGCCAGUGAAAGACAAAUAUUUGUUUAGCCUCUAACUAACUUCCCAGUUGUACUUGAGGUUGGUUUUUCUGUGGUGCUGAAAUAAUGGAGAACUGUAUAAAGUUCCAUUGUAUUAUUCA